GUGAAUCAUCGAAUCUUUGAACGCACAUUGCGCCCUUUGGUAUUCCGAAGGGCAUGCCUGUUCGAGCGUCAUUAUCACCCCUCGAGCCCCCUGUGGCUUGGCUUUGGACGGUCUGGUUAGGCGACUGACCCCUCCUAAAGACAAUGACGGCGGCCUCGCAGGACCCCCGGUACACUGAGCUUCUUAACUGAGCACGUAUCGGAAUGAGGGUUCUCGGGACACGGUCUCCUUUUCCCCCCUCCCUCCCGGGGGCGGUGGGAAAAAAAUAUCUUUCUAAGGUUGACCUCGGAUCAGGUAGGG
rnacentral:misc_RNA from 1 species